GGCCCAGCGACUCCUGGCUUACUCAGCCCAGGCCUGAGGCUCCCAGGGAAGGCCAGGCCAGGCUGUGCAGGAACCUGCCUAUGGGGCUGGGCACCUGGCCCUCCAGGAAGGCCUGCCUGCGAGGAGCUGCUCUGCACAGGGGUCUCGACCCUCCGCUAGGCACCAGGAGCGAAGAGGGAGAGGCUUUGGGAAGGAGACACAGGUCAGGGCUGUGUUGGCAGUCAGACGGUCACGUGGCAUGGCCACCCUGGCCCCAAAGCCGGGAGCUUACAGAAAAGUCAGCCUCGAUGGACGGCAAGAUGCACCUGUCAGCCACGAAGGAGCCCCCCGAGGUGCAGAUCCCCACAUCCGCCGCACCCGUGUGGAGAAAACAGCGCUGGAUUUCCUGUCGUGGGUUUUGUGACUUUGAAAGCCGAGGCUGCUGAUUGG
rnacentral:lncRNA from 10 species